CGAUGGUUGAGUAGUCAUUGGUACUCCC
rnacentral:sRNA from 1 species